CAUCAAGUCUGCCUCUUUAGAGAGGUAACACAACACAGGUGAAGUCAAAGAGUAUAACUAUACUCUUUGGGUGAAGUGUUAACAGAUGGCUGUACUUUUUUCCCCUGUUAUUGUUUUUUAAAUGCAUAUCUAUGGAAACGACUUGUAGUCAUAACUUGACCAGUUGGGUUAGGUUAAAGGUGAAACAUCGUCACCUCACAUUGCUACUGGUAUCAUUGUUAAAGGAAGGAAAACAAACAAAUGGAAAGGGUAAAAGGGCAACAAAACCUGUGAGAAAUAGUUUUACCAACCAAUUGUAUUAGAAGGAAUAAUUGUGUAAAUUUAAUUUAAAGCUAAAACAAAAGCAGCAAACAAAUGGCAUCAAAUGAAAAGACAAAAAAACUAGACAAAAGUUCUUGGCGACAACGAUAAUAAUGGAGAUAAAAUAUAAAUAUAAAGUGAAAAAAAUCAAGUAAACGAUAACAAUUGAUGCAAUUGGUUAUUGUCUUGUCAACUUACUGAUUAAAGUAAAGACAAAAGAAACGGGAAAAGAAAGAGAAGAAGACGAUAAAGAUGAUGAAGAUGAAGAAAAAUUUGAAGGUCAAUUAAAAGGAAGAUGCUAAAUGGAAGACAAAGAGACUCUUUUUUUGUGCUCAUCAUUAGGUUGAUCCUUGAAACUUGACUGGGUGUGGAUUCCCUGGAAACCUAACGAACCUUUUGGUAACAUUUAUUAUUCUGGACUAACCAUACAGAACGGAAUGGAUUCGUAGUUAUUGCUAUACAUUUAUCUGAAUGAAAGAUGAGGAAUGAUGAGAUAUUAUAUUGCGUGUGUGUUCGUGGGACUCUUCAAUUUUAUGAGUGAACAGUAAAGAAGAAAGAAGGCAAAGUUUGAACAUGAGAUGAACAAUCAAUGAAAAUGUUGAAAGGAAACGAAAAUAUUACUUUGAGUUACAAAUUUCAAGAAAACAAUUUUGAGCCAAUGGAUGAAACAAAAUACUCAAGUUUAGGUGAUGAAGAUGGGCUGAUCAGGGGAAGAUGAAAGUUGACAAACACUAAAGCUUUGCUCAUCUUCAUCAUCGUCAGCAUCAUAGAGACAGAAACUGGAUAAAAGUGAAAACAGAUGAAGCGACUUUUCAAUGAUGAUUUGUCUUCUUCUUCAUCUUUAUUGAACAACAAAAGUAUCAAAAUGGUGUAUUAAUUUAAUGAACCAUGAAUUAAAAAACAUGAACCAAUCAAUUGUGUGGUUAACAAAAUUUGACAACAAAUCAAACGUUGAAUGUUUCCGGGAAAAAACAAGAGAUGGCAAUGGAGAGAAAAGGAAGAGACCAAAGGAUUGUUUCAAUGAUAAUCAGUGAUGAACAAUCAUGCAAAUGACAAGGUUACAGAUUCCUGUUGUGAUCAUGAAAAGCAACACCAGAAACCAUCAAAACAAAUGAAAAGGAAAACAAAUGAAUGGCAAAAAAGCAACACAACAACAACCAAUCGACAAAUGAUUAGUGAUUAAAUCUGAUUUAAGCCUUUUUUUCUGGUUGACCUUAACUGUUGACUAUCUUUUUUUGAUUGGUUUGAUUGAUUUGGAUCAAUUUAGGAAUCACCUUGAGGCGGUUGUCUAAUUGUUUAUUUGAGGAUGAAAUUGGGUAAAAAUGUUGAUUAUUGGUUAAAACAAAUAAUCCUAAUCAUCAUCAUCUGGUUGCCUUUAUAAUUGCAUUACUAUUGAUAGGAUGAAACCUUUACUUGUUUAAUAGCUCAUCAAUCAAAAUGGUUGAUUAGGCUUAAUCAGUUGAAAGAAUACAAGUUUCCGUUUCUAAUUGUGAACAAUUACAAACAAACAAAUAUCAACGAUUCAAUGGUUACAUUUCUUGAAUUAUUCAGUUGCUUAUCGUAAUCAUCAUCAUUGUAAUCAACAUAAUCAUCAUCAUCUUUUUACUCUUCAAAUUCUUGCAGUUGCUUCUUUUUCUGUUCAUCUUUUUCACCAUUCUAUUCCAUGACAAAUGCUGAUGUUAUCAUAGGAAGAUGAUGAUGAUUAACUAAACAGUCUCCUCCUUAAACUCCUCCUGAUUGCGAUGAGAUUCAUCAAGAUGAACAUUAUCAUUCAAUUUAAUCAUCACUUUAUUCAGCUUAAGCAGGUUUUACGGUUCUCCUGCCAUCUAUCUUUGUCUCAACUUACUUUGCUUGUCACAUGUUUUGUUAACAAUUGAAAUGCUUUUUUCCUUCUCUUUUGGUUAACUUAUUUUAAUUUUGUUUUUAAAUUAUCAUCUUAAAUCAUCCUAAUUAGUAUUAUCUUCAUCAUUAAAGUCUAUCUUUAGCUAACUGUUUUACAACCAUUUUGUCAUCUGGAAUGUUUAACUUGGAUAUUUUAAAGUAUGGUUUACUUGAAAUGUCUUUUUGUUUCUUUUUAGCUACACUUUUCUCUUAAACAUUAUCUUUGAUUUAACAAAUUGUCAGCCGGUUUUAUUAAUCAUCGAUACAUUCCAAGAUGCUUCCAACUGUUCAUGUUUACUCACUGUGUACAUAAUGAACAUGAAAUUAAUAUUUAAAGCGUCUCAUUUGCGAAAUGAAAUGCUUAUUAAUGUGUGUAAACUUUUUUUCUAUAUGAAUCUCUGGGUAAAGGGAUGAUUACCAGAAAAUGAAGCCAAUUUCAAUGCAAAGGAUAUGAAAAUUUUAAGCACUUCACAGUUAUUACAUUGCUCAUUUCAAAUGCAUAACUUUUGAGUCCAUAAUUUGUUGAUGAAUAACCAGUUAUGGUGAUAUUUUGUCAUAUUUUUUCUGGUUCUUUUCCCAUUUUCCCGUUGCUGCUGCAAGAGGCAAUAGCUUUUCGCUUUUCCUUUUCACCAAUUUCAACUAUUGAUUUAAUUAGACAACUAUAAAAUCGUCAGUCCCAUUCAAA